rnacentral:lncRNA from 1 species
UAGAAAAUCCGAGUGCUUACACUCAUCCCGCCAACCAUAUCCAUCCAUCCAGGAUCUGUGCCAACCACGAACAGGGUACCCCAGGUUCUGGAGGUGCAAUCCUCAGACACCAAGAUUCUCAUAGUCCCGGAGCUAUGCCGGGCCUGCAGGAUGACUCAGCAGGUAGAGUCACUUGUCAACAAACCCAAAGACUCAAGUUUGACCCCACCCCCAUCCAGGACCAAAGGAGAGAAAUGACUCCUGCAAAGCUGUCCUGUGACAGCCACAGGCUUGCAUCUGCUCACACAUGAAUGCAUACCUGUGCAUAUGCACAUACUCAAUAAAAAUGUAACAAAA